GGGAGUCUUCAUAUAUCAAUUUUAUUACUUUCAACCCAUGUACUGUCAACUUUUAUUGGAGGCUGUUGUUUUAGUAAUUAAAUUUUCACACCUAGCAAUGCCAGGUGAUAGGUAAAAAGACCCAUGUAACUUCAUUUACCUGUAGUUUUAUUUACCUUUCAUUUUAAUUACCUGUAAAAUCAUACAUUUUGAAUAAAAAUAUAUUGAUUUAAACAUGUUGAAAUAAA
rnacentral:lncRNA from 1 species